rnacentral:rRNA from 1 species
AGUUUGAUCCUGGCUCAGAUUGAACGCUGGCGGCAUGCCUUACACAUGCAAGUCGAACGGUAACAGGUCUUCGGAUGCUGACGAGUGGCGAACGGGUGAGUAAUACAUCGGAACGUGCCCGAUCGUGGGGGAUAACGGAGCGAAAGCUUUGCUAAUACCGCAUACGAUCUACGGAUGAAAGCAGGGGACCGCAAGGCCUUGCGCGGACGGAGCGGCCGAUGGCAGAUUAGGUAGUUGGUGGGAUAAAAGCUUACCAAGCCGACGAUCUGUAGCUGGUCUGAGAGGACGACCAGCCACACUGGGACUGAGACACGGCCCAGACUCCUACGGGAGGCAGCAGUGGGGAAUAUUGGACAAUGGGCGCAAGCCUGAUCCAGCCAUGCCGCGUGAGUGAUGAAGGCCUUAGGGUUGUAAAGCUCCUUCACCGGUGAAGAUAAUGACGGUAACCGGAGAAGAAGCCCCGGCUAACUUCGUGCCAGCAGCCGCGGUAA